AUAUAUAUCGGUUAUGGAUGAGCUUGCGGGGUAUUAGGUAGUUGGUGUGGUAAUGGCGCACCAAGCCCAAGAUGCCUAGCCGGUUUGAGAGAACGAUCGGCCACACUGGGACUGAGACACGGCCCAGACGCUUACGAGCGGCAGCAGUGGGGAAUAUUGGACAAUGGGCGAAAGCCUGAUCCAGUGAUAUCGCUUUGGGGAUGACGGCGACAUACGUUGUAAACCCAAUGAAGUACGUUUAGAUUAUGAC
rnacentral:rRNA from 1 species